rnacentral:rRNA from 1 species
GACGAACGCUGGCGGCGUGCUUAACACAUGCAAGUCGAACGAAGUGGCGAACGGGUGAGUAACGCGUAAUCAACCUGCCCUUCAGAGGGGGACAACAGUUGGAAACGACUGCUAAUACCGCAUACUGAAGGAGGGGAUUGCGUCUGAUUAGAUAGUUGGAGGGGGAACGGCCGACCAAGGCGAUGAUCAGUAGCCGGUCGGAAAGGGUGAACGGCCAAAUUGGGACAGAGACAAGGCCCAGACUCCUACGGGAGGCAGCAGGGGGGAAACUUCCGCAAUGGACGAAAGUCUGACGGAGCAACGGCGCGUUAAUGAUGACGGCCUUCGGGUUGUAAAGCUCUGUUAAUCGGGACGCGGUACCGGAAUAGAAAGCCACGGCUAACUACGUGCCAGCAGCCGCGGUAAUUC